rnacentral:ncRNA from 1 species
UGCAAAGAUAAAAACACAACGUGUGGCAGGGCCACACAGACCCGGUAGGUAGUCCGGGCGCAGACCGGAUGUGCAGAUAUUCCGGUCUGUAAGUAACCUUCCUCCUUAGGUCGUCCCUUCUUUGC